ensembl:rRNA 5S_rRNA 5S ribosomal RNA
GCAGACGGCCAUACCUUUCUGGCUCCGCCUGAUCUCGUCUGAUUGCAGAAGCUAAAGUAGGGCCUGGUUAGUACUUGGAUGGAAGACCGCCUGAGACCCCAGGUGCCGUAAGCU